AGUUUGAUCCUGGCUCAGAACGAACGCUGGCGGCAUGCCUAACACAUGCAAGUCGAACGAGACCUUCGGGUCUAGUGGCGCACGGGUGCGUAACGCGUGGGAAUCUGCCCUUGGGUUCGGAAUAACAGUUAGAAAUGACUGCUAAUACCGGAUAAUGUCUUCGGACCAAAGAUUUAUCGCCCAGGGAUGAGCCCGCGUAGGAUUAGCUAGUUGGUGAGGUAAAAGGCUCACCAAGGCGACGAUCCUUAGCUGGUCUGAGAGGAUGAUCAGCCACACUGGGACUGAGACACGGCCCAGACUCCUACGGGAGGCAGCAGUGGGGAAUAUUGGACAAUGGGCGAAAGCCUGAUCCAGCAAUGCCGCGUGAGUGAUGAAGGCCUUAGGGUUGUAAAGCUCUUUUACCCGGGAUGAUAAUGACAGUACCGGGAGAAUAAGCCCCGGCUAACUCCGUG
rnacentral:rRNA from 1 species